rnacentral:tRNA from 1 species
UCCCUGGUAGCUCAGAGGUUAAGGCAUCUGCCUGCAAUGCAGGAGACCUGGGUUCGAUCCCAGGGUUGGGAA